CCUACGGGUGACAGCAGUGAGGAAUAUUGGUCAAUGGACGAGAGUCUGAACCAGCCAAGCCGCGUGAAGGAUGACUGCCCUAUGGGUUGUAAACUUCUUUUGUAAGGGAAUAAAACGAGGCACGUGUGCCUUGUUGCAUGUACUUUAUGAAUAAGGAUCGGCUAACUCCGUGCCAGCAGCCGCGGUAAUACGGAGGAUCCGAGCGUUAUCCGGAUUUAUUGGGUUUAAAGGGAGCGUAGAUGGGUUGUUAAGUCAGUGGUGAAAGUCUGCGGCUCAACCGUAAAAUUGCAAUUGAUACUGGCAGUCUUGAGUACAGUUGAGGUAGGCGGAAUGCGUGGUGUAGCGGUGAAAUGCAUAGAUAUCACGAAGAACCCCGAUUGCGAAGGCAGCUUACCAAACUGUGACUGACAUUGAUGCUCGAAAGUGUGGGUAUCAAACAGGAUUAGAUACCCUUGUAGUC
rnacentral:rRNA from 1 species